rnacentral:misc_RNA from 1 species
AACAAGGCGUACCUGCGGACCUGCGGAAGGAUCAUUACCGAGUUUACAAACUCCCAACCCUAUGUGAACCUUACCAAUCGUUGCUUCGGCGGGCUUAGCCCCCGCGCCCUCGCCGGCGCCGGGAGAAAGGCGCCCGCCGGGGACCCCAAACCCAAUGUUUUUCAUGCAGUAUUUCUGAGUGGCAAACGCAAAAAUAAAUCAAAACUUUCAACAAUGGAUCU